rnacentral:tRNA from 1 species
GUGACACGAGGAUUUUCAGUCCUCUGCUNUACCAGCUGAG